GGGAAUGUGGCUUAGUGGUGAAGUGUUUGCCUAGCGUGCAUGAGCCUCUGGGUUCAAUUCCUCAUUACCA
rnacentral:tRNA from 1 species